rnacentral:rRNA from 1 species
UACGAGGGGGGCAAGCGUUGUUCGGAAUUAUUGGGCGUAAAGGGUGCGUAGGCGGUUUGAUAAGUCAUCUGUGAAAUCUCUGGGCUUAACCCGGAAACUGCCGUUGAUACUAUCUGUCUUGAAUAUAGUGGAGGUGAGCGGAAUAUGUCAUGUAGCGGUGAAAUGCUUAGAUAUGACAUAGAACAUCGAUUGCGAAGGCAGCUCGCUACACUAUGAUUGACACUGAGGCACGAAAGCGUGGGGAUCAAACAGG